GAAAAGGAAGAAACGUCUUUUUACUCUUUACGGUAUCGUUUCUCUUCUUCAUCACCAACGAAGGCCCCUUUUUAUUUGCGAGAGAGAGAGAGAGAAGAGAAGAGAAGAGCCUUCUUCACCUCACCUUAACCCUUGUUCGAUUCAGAUCGUCUUCUCCCAUACUCUCACCCUAAUUUCCUCCCAAUCUCUCUCCAUUAUCUCCUUUCACUCAUCCCCAGAUUCUCCCUUCCUCAANNN
rnacentral:lncRNA from 1 species